CAGCAGGCACUUAUUUUGACAAAACACGUGAUGCACACAUGAUCUCUCCACACCCAUGACACAUAUUUUGGAAAAGGGAACCACACACAUGAUACUCCGAACACUUAUUUUGAAUUCGCGCCCCUCGGAUGAGAAGUCACGAGCCGCCACUGAUCUCUGCCCACAUGAACAUGGAACAACACGUAAUUACACGCUGUCAAGAGCAUGCCACACCGGCAGGCGGUGAUAUAACUCAAAUCAUUAAGCCACCGUGGCCAAUCAGAAGCCUAACACAAGUGACGUUGCAAGGCGGUUUUACUGUCUACACAACAACACUGCACUCGGCGUUUCUUAAAAUACACACUGGCAGGGGUUUUCAAAAAUGUUCAGUUUUAGUGAUACUGCGUGUCUGUGUGGAUGAAAGGCGUAAAAAAGUCACGGUUAUAAAAAUACCCGUGUCCAUGUGAACAAGGCCUAAGUUUGCCAUUUUGAAACCCCGCCAGUGUAAAAAUGCAGGAAUAAGGCCUAGUCCACACGGACAUGGGUAUUUCUAACCUGAGUUUUUCCUCCAUAACAAAUCCUGUCCACACAUGCUCAGUUUAAAAGAAAUCUCUGUCCACAUGAAAAAGCAAAAACAUGCUAUCAAGCGCUGUCAAGAGCAUGCCACACCAGCAGGCGACAAUAUAACCUCUGACAUCAAAUACAGCAGAUAACGGUGCACACUCGUCGCAGGGCAAAAAACCCCAGUUUAAUUGUCUACACAACAACACUGCAACCAGCGUUUUCUUAAAAUCCUCACCCUGGCAGGGAUUUUCAAAAAUGUUUGGUUUCAGUGCCCUGAUACUGAAUUUUUGCGUGGACAAACGGCCGAACCAUGUUUAAAAAUGCCACGCUUAUAAAAAUACUCAGGUCCAUGUGGACUAGGUCUAAGUCUUUAAUAGAAUUGUGAGUGUCCAUUGAGUUUACAUAUUACAAAUACACAGAUAAUGUUGCUUUGUUUUGAAUGGAGAUUUGAAUGGAGAUGACUUUUGUUGUGGAUCUUGUAUCAAAUUUGUCUUAAGCCCUGUUUUCUCUCUCUCUCUCUCUCUCUCUCUCUCUCUCUCUCUCUCUCUCUCUCUCUCUCUCUCUCUCUCUCUCUCUCUCUCUCUCUCUCUCUCGCUCGCUCGCUCUCUCUCCCUAUAAUUUGAAAAUCACAUUGCUGUAGUUUGCAAUGAAUUGUGGGAGCAUGCUAAAUGCAAAUUUUACAGUUAUGUCUGCAAUAUUGUAUUAUUAAAAUAGGCUAAUAUGUAAAUGCUACAGGACAACAUGUAAUGACACUUAUUAUUUUAUUUUAUGUAUUUAUUUAUUUAUUUAAAAAGUCAGCUGUGGCACUAGUUUGAAAAUAAAAGCUUUGGCACUUUACAAUAACUGCAGUAAAUGCAGCCUAUUAAAUGAAUUAUAAAUAUGCAUGUAGAUUCUGUUAAUGUACAAAUCUUUGUCAAAAAUGUUUGAUAAGAAACACAUUUAGACAACAUGUGCGUAGCGCAGUACGUGUGAUGUCACGACGUCAUCAGCAAAUUUGCGCGCGGUGCACAUGCGCAUUGCGAGUUUGCGCAGACAGGUGUCUACGGAGUGGAAAGAAGUUGUUGCAUCUGAUAAUUCUUCAAUCGUGUAAGUAAUAUUUUUAUUUUGUCACAUUGCAAACACAAGACCGUUCAUCAUAGUUAGGUAUUAGCGUUAGUUUCUCUGCUGAAUUUAUUGGGCUAGUCUAUAGCACAUAAUUUGAUGUAAUAUGCGCGUGUUAGUUUGAUGCACAUGCUGGAAGACAGGGCUCUCAAGUCAAGUCUCAUGCAUUCACCGUGAGACACACGCAUUUCAGUCAGUUCAAACGCUCACACCCCACACCUUGUAUUUCUCAGGCUGAUUAGUAAUAGAUAAAUUGUCGAAUUUUUCGAAAAAAAAAUUGUACUCAACUUUACGCAGCGCCGCAAGAACUGACAAAGAUGACAUCAGAGUACCGCGAGAAUUGUUGCUGAAAAGGCUGAUUUCAAAUCGCUCUCGCGUUACUCUGAUGUCAUCCAUAUGUCGUUUCUUGCAGCGCCUCGCCUCAUGAAGUCGUACUUUGAUCAAAGACAAGUACAAUUCUAUAAUCUACUUAAAGUGCUCUAUUUUCAUGUACUAAUUUUGUACUUAAUAUAGCCUACAUUUUUUGUUCCUUAGUACAUAUGAAAUAUGCUAAAAUGUAAUUUAAAAAUGUAUUUAUGUACCACUUGUAAUACAUUUGAACCCAUAUUUGUAUGAAAGAUGAGUACAAGUUUACUUAAAUAUAUUUUGUAAUACAAGAUUAUAGUAUGUUAAAUGCAUUUCACUUCAUAUUCAUGACAUCUCAAACACGGAGAAAGAUAUUUUGAGGAAUGUUUGUAACCCAAUCUUUAAUGAGCCCCAUUCACUUCCAAAAUAAGAAAAAGAAUACUUAGUCCCUUCUUAUUGAAGCUGCCAUAUUUAUUUUUUUUGUCCUGUUUAUAUGAAAUAUAGUUUAAUUUUUUUUUUUACGUAGCAGCAACUGCAGCUUACAUGGAAUGAGGAUUAUCGGAUUCACCUACACUCACUGAUCAUCCAAGGUGAAUUGAUGACCCCAAGCAAAUGGAUGUUGUCAUCUGAAGAGAAGGUUGUCCUGGGUCCAUGUUUAGAGGCAUUUGGGGCAUAUCAGACACACAUCAGAAUCAAGCUGCAUGCACACUUGAGUUUAUUCAGAGAGAAGUUGUGGGCAUCAGUCUGGAAACUGGAUCAAAAAUUUGCUGCUGGAACGUGUGACAAAAAAAGGCAUGGAAUGAACCCAAAUGUAUGAACACUGCUACGAAAACUAAUGGACUUUGAAUGGCUUGCCAGUUAAUUCCAAUGGAAUUGAAGAAGAGACUCUGACAUUUUCAAGUUUGUGGUUAAUUUAAAAGAUUAUCUUCAUAGAUAAGCAAUUUAAAGGUAGGCACAGUUAAAACUAUUUCUUGUGUGUUUGUUUAAACUGUAAAUUUAUGACUGAAGUUUGGUCACUAUGUAGUAAUGUGUUCCUUUGUGGUUAAUUAAAUGCUGCAGUGCUUUGUGGUAUUCGUUGUUGCAUUUCCAAGGCUAAAGCCUUAUUUUGUUAUCUGCAUUGUAUUGGAGAGUUUUGGACUAUUGUACAAUAAAUGCAUUUGGCUACA